GUCGUUCCCAGGGCUUUCGUGUGAGGACGAGGUAGGGGCUUCGGGAAAGUUUGAAAAAUGAAGUCAAAUUUCAAAUGGAAAUAGCAUUUCUACACUUUCUGGUGGCAAAUUUAAGAAAUCGAACAGCAGAAAUAUCGACAAGAGUAUGUUUAAUAAUUUUUUGUAAUAACUUUAAAAGUUUAAUAACUAUGCUAUGCGUAAAAAUAAGCUAUACUGUUCAUUAAUUCGCCUCUGUCGCGAGCGACUCGGUAGCAAAAACGACAAAAUUUGGCAGAACACGGUAAAAAAAUGGUAUGCAGUAAUGAAGAGAGGGGACAUAGCCUUAAUGAGAAGUCUGAUUAUAUUUCCUGUCCGACCCUGACUGCACAAUUAUACCUCAAAAUUCCCUCUUACCCCUGCAGUGGCGCAGGACCCCCCUAUCAUUUUGCAAACAGAGCUUAGCUGAAUUAAUAACAAAUAUACGCAUAGAACAGUUAGAAAAAAAUUAUUAAACAUACUCUUGUCGAUAUUUUUGUUGUUCAAUUUCUUGAAUGGCAAAUUCAAAACCAGAAAGUGUAGAAAUGCUAUUUCCAAACUUCAUUUUUGAAACUUUCCCGAACCCCUACAAAACCAGCCCAGAAUUUCAGCCCUCCUAUCUUGAAACAUCUUCCUAUGCCACUGUACCCCGUCUUUCUUUCUUUAUAAUUAUUGCGUAAUUCUGUUGUUUUUUCUUGACUGGGAAAUAUUCGGAAAUUUC